CCCUUAGAUGUCCUGGGCCGCACGCGCGCUACACUGACAUGUUCAACAAGCCUCCUAGUUCGACAGGAUUUGGGAAAUCUUUGAACGCAUGUCGUGAUAGGGAUAGAUCAUUGCAAUUAUUGAUCUUGAACGAGGAAUUCCUAGUAAACGCGAGUCAUCAGCUCGCAUUGAUUACGUCCCUGCCCUUUGUACACACCGCCCGUCGCACCUACCGAUUGAAUGUUUCGGUGAAGAUUCCGGAUAGGACUUUUUUGAUUUAUUUCAAUUUUGUCUUAAAAGCUACCUAAACCUCAACAUUUAGAGGAAGGUGAAGUCGUAACA
rnacentral:rRNA from 1 species